GGGGGGAGGGCUCAGUGGUAGAGAGCAUGCUUGGCAUUCACAAGGUCCUGGGUUCAAUCCCCAGUACCUCCA
rnacentral:tRNA from 1 species